CCCUUAGAUGUUCUGGGCCGCACGCGCGCUACACUGACGAUGGCAACGAGUUUUUCCUUCGCCGAAAGGUGUGGGUAAUCUUUUGAAACAUCGUCGUGCUGGGGAUAGAUCAUUGCAAUUUUUGAUCUUGAACGAGGAAUUCCUAGUAAGCGCGAGUCAUCAGCUCGCGUUGAUUACGUCCCUGCCCUUUGUACACACCGCCCGUCGCUACUACCGAUUGAAUGGUUUAGUGAGGACUCCUGAUUGGCGCCGCCGCCCCGGCAACGGAGCAGCGGACUGCCGAAAAGUUGUUCAAACUUGAUCAUUUAGAGGAAGCAAAAGUCGUAACA
rnacentral:rRNA from 1 species